rnacentral:rRNA from 1 species
GACGAACGCUGGCGGCGUGCCUAAUACAUGCAAGUCGAACGCAGUGGGGACGGGUGAGUAACACGUUGGUAACCUCCCAUCAGAGGGGAUAACACUUGACAACAGGUGCUAAACCGAUACUGAUGGAUGGACCCGUGGUGCAUUAGCUAGUUGGUGAGGUAACGGCUCACCAAGGCGACGAUGCAUAGCCGGUCUGAGAGGAUGAUCGGCCACACUGGGACUGAGACACGGCCCAGACUCCUACGGGAGGCAGCAGUAGGGAAUCUUCGGCAAUGGACGAAAGUCUGACCUAGCAACGCCGCGUGAGUGAAGAAGGUUUUCGGAUCGUAAAGCUCUGUUGUUAGAGAAGCGGUAUCUAAACAGAAAGCAACGGCUAACUACGUGCCAGCCGCCGCGGUAAUAC